UAGAGCUCGGAAGUGUCUUAUAAGUGUAUAAACGAAAGAAAAAUAAAGUUUUCUUCUUCCUUAUAAAAUUUCUCUUUAUUUUACGUGACACGGACGUACUACGAAAUAGUUACCUAUUUAAACGUUACAAUUUUUGUGUUUAUCAAGUGUUUGUGCAAUUGGAUGGGUCAAACGGCAACCAGAUAGACUAUUCCACAUGUGGAAAAUCCUCCCCUGAUGCACUUCGUGAUACACAAAGAAGCUUAUUCCAGUAACACAAUUCUCCAUAUAUUUUUUUUCAUGCUGUUAUGGUAAGUUUUUUCCCUACUUCUUUUUGAUUAUCGACUAUUACUGUAUUAUUUGCUAUAAUGUCUGCAUUUUAAUUGCAAAAUGCAUUGUUUCAUUUAAGAAACGUGGUACAGUAUAUUCAUUCGUUAUCUUUCUUAUUUAUUAACCAAAAAUUAUGAAUGAAAUAAAACAAAUCUCAGUUCUCAGAUUCUGAUUUAAAUAAUAUACCGAGUCUAAUAUCUACAAAAUAGUCUGAAACUUUGAAUUUUUCUAUGCAUUUUAUGUGUAGAUAUUUUAUUACACGUAGAAAUUUAUUAUACAUAGAAACCUAACCUCAAUAUUUAACCAAUGUCGAAACAAUAAGCGGUAGAAUAUCUCACGUGAUAUUGAUGUCAUCAAAAAUAGUUUUAACAAAAUUUGUUUAGUUCGAAAGAAGACAUCACAUACGGUACAAAUUACCUUUCUGUAGAUCCAGUAGUAGGGUCCCAUUUCAACUUCAUUUUUGCAAAUGGAAUCAUAUAUUUUUUAAUACAUUCAUCGAUCUAUUUUUGUAUUCCUUAUGAAAAGAUUAAAAGGAACUGUUAGUUCACCAGGUAUCUUAACUUAAAUUCGUCGUAUGAAAGCCAGGUAAGGACGCGAAACGGUACUCUUAUGUUUGCGGUGUCCUUGUCUUUUUUAUGUUUCAGCAUAAACACAAUACCGCUUUGUGUCCUACGCUUAUCUUUCAUACGACAAAUUCAACGUAAGAUAUAAUCUAAACUAACAGUUUUUCGACAUAAAUAGGUUAAUACUUUUGUAUACGAUAUGAAACGUUACGAUAUUGGUUACACCACUGUUGCUUACAAAACAUUCGACCGAUUCGACUGAUCGGUAGUAAAAAAAGAGUAUAAUAACAAGACGUAGAGCACAUCAAAAUCAGCUUCGCGAUUAACGUUUUAAAUGAAAUUGUAUCACCGUUAUCGAUAUGAUUGACGAUUGAUUGUGUUUCACGCAAUGUAAUUUUUUUGAAAGCAAAAACAUUUCAGUCACGGUGUCUACUCUCAAUUUUCCUGCACUUUUCUCCCGUGGUUGACAGAACAUUCAUAAGCAUCUGUUUCCUUUCAUUUUUUAUGGUCUGGAGUUUCCUCCCUCUCCUUCCAAUAAUAAAAUGAGCGUCAGAAAGCAGAUUUUACAAUUAGAUCGAUUAUUUUAUUCCUGUAUUUCCCAAUAAACAUAUUGAGUCUAAAUAAUGAAGAAAAAUCUCUCUUCUUCCGAGAAUCAUCAUCACAGACAGUCGAUUGCAUCGGCUCAUUCCCUACUGCGGUGUUUUCUUUCGAUUUUCGAGGUGAGAGAAAAGGAUUGUUGGUUUUGAAUAUGAAAGUAGAAGCAAUGUGCUACACUUGACCAAAACUAAAUGCUAGAAUUAUAUACUUUAGUUGAAAUAUGAUCUCAAAUGUUAGGAAAUAACGUAGUAUAAUGACGAAAAAAUAAAGCGCUACAGAAACCUCUCGAAACGAAUUUCUUUGUGUUUGCUGUUACUUUUCUAGCGAUAUAUCUUUUUCAAAUUCCGAUUGCCGUUCAUAGAUUGCAGCAUUUAAUAACAGGAGUACCUUCAUUCGAUUUUCUGAUUCUCUUGAGUGUGACAUUUGACGUCAGUCACUGAUGUUUUCACCGGUUGAA